UACGUAGGGGGCAAGCGUUGUCCGGAUUUAUUGGGCGUAAAGAGCGUGUAGGCGGCUUGACAAGUCUGCUGUGAAAACUCGAGGCUCAACCUCGAGCUGUCGGUGGAAACUGUCUGGCUAGAGUCCGGAAGAGGAGAGUGGAAUUCCUGGUGUAGCGGUGAAAUGCGUAGAUAUCUGGAGGAACACCGGUGGCGAAGGCGGCAUCCUGGACCGGCAUUGACGCUGAGGAGCGAAAGCCAGGGGAGCAAACGGG
rnacentral:rRNA from 1 species